GAGUUCUUAAGGAAUGUUCUCUAUGUAUUGUUGGUAUGGCUGCCACGAUCUGCCAUGUCUUUGAAUAUAAACAAAGUCCCAUAACAACUUAAUGUUGGUCAUUGAAUAACUUCUGAGCAAGCAAAAUAGAUUCUGUCAAUUACGCAAACAACAAAAGAAUCGCUUAAGCAUGUCAGGUGAUAAAUAUAUCAAAAUCAAUAUCAAGCCUACCUUUUAAAAAAUCUGCAUAUUAUAAUCUCUGAUGAGAGCUUGUUGUUAUCAGUGUAUUGUCGUAGGAUCUUGAUUACUAAGAUUCGAAUUAAGGGACUUAUUAUUGCAAGCUGGAAAAAGUCUGAAUGGGCCCAUGCAGUUAAGAGUCUGCACUUUGAGCACCCAUUGUCUUUGGUGAAGGUAAUAAUUUAUUUUUUUUUAAUUUCACCUGCGUAUAUAAGGGUUCGUAGUUGUGAUAUAUUCGCCAUCAUCAACGCUACAUCCAUCAAGGCCUGUGAUGCCAUUUUCCUAACCAGGAACUGAUUCGUUGAUAACAAGGGAGCAAACUGUACAUUUAAAAAGAAAGAGAAAAGUUAAACAGGAUUGUGUACCUUUGUGUGAGUGGGUCAACGCCAUCCGCAUCGUCUGGAACACCAACAUUAUUCUCAUGUUCCCUGGACACUGGGUGGACGCUGGAAGCUCUCAUGGUCUCUUCAGUCAUUGAAGUCUCUGUAUUAUGA